rnacentral:rRNA from 1 species
AUUGAACGCUGGCGGCAUGCUUUACACAUGCAAGUCGAACGGCAGCGCGGGCUUCGGCCUGGCGGCGAGUGGCGAACGGGUGAGUAAUGCAUCGGAACGUGCCCAGUAGUGGGGGAUAGCCCGGCGAAAGCCGGAUUAAUACCGCAUACGACCUGAGGGUGAAAGCGGGGGACCGAAAGGCCUCGCGCUAUUGGAGCGGCCGAUGUCGGAUUAGCUAGUUGGUGGGGUAAAGGCUUACCAAGGCGACGAUCCGUAGCUGGUCUGAGAGGACGACCAGCCACACUGGGACUGAGACACGGCCCAGACUCCUACGGGAGGGAGCAGUGGGGAAUUUUGGACAAUGGGGGCAACCCUGAUCCAGCCAUGCCGCGUGCGGGAAGAAGGCCUUCGGGUUGUAAACCGCUUUUGUUCGGGAAGAAAUCCUCUGGGCUAAUACCCCGGGGGGAUGACGGUACCGGAAGAAUAAGCACCGGCUAACUACGUG